rnacentral:rRNA from 1 species
GCGAACGCUGGCGGCAGGCCUAAUACAUGCAAGUCGAACGGCAGCACAGCAGAGCUUGCUCUGUGGGUGGCGAGUGGCGGACGGGUGAGGAAUACAUGGGAAUCUGCCCAGUCGUGGGGGAUAACGUAGGGAAACUUACGCUAAUACCGCAUGCGCCCUUCGGGGGAAAGCCGGGGACCUUCGGGCCUGGCGCGAUUGGAUGAGCCCAUGUCGGAUUAGCUAGUUGGUGGGGUAAAGGCCCACCAAGGCGACGAUCCGUAGCUGGUCUGAGAGGAUGAUCAGCCACACUGGAACUGAGACACGGUCCAGACUCCUACGGGAGGCAGCAGUAGGGAAUAUUGGACAAUGGGCCAAGCCUGAUCCAG